rnacentral:lncRNA from 1 species
GUUUUUCUUAUACCAGGACUGGCCUUUGUGAUCUGCAAGUUGAGUGGCACGGCAUCCGCGUUUCCAGGCUGGGGCUCCCCAGUGGCAGGUGGCACAUCGACACAGGACACCUGCACCCACUCGAGGAACACGCCAGGUCUAUGGUUCGGGAGCCGGACAUGCAGCUGGAGCGAGAGGCACUGUGGGCCACCGUCUGCCAGGGCCCGCAGACCCCUGGGUGACACAGGUAUUGCCAAAUGUCCCCUGAAGGGUAAAUCACCGCUGGUGGAAGACCACUGUGGCUCUAGACCAUCUCUGCUUUUUUUCCUUUUACCCGGAUCCUUCAUUCUCAUCUCCCUUGCUGAAAUCAUCCAUGGCUCCCUAUUGUCAUCACAGCAAACAUCUACAUGGGACUUUCUAAGUGCCAGGGACUAAUUUCCCAGCACCCGUCUUACAGGGCUGUGGUGAAGCUGAUGGUGAUUAAGCAGCACCCCUGAGCCGGAGCCCGAGCCCUUGUGACUAUUAUUACUAUUGCUUGUGGGGCUCCGCUUCCCUAAGCUGUGCCUUUCCGGGCGCCGGCUCUUGCCCUGGCCUUUCUCUCUUCCUGCAUCGACCUCGCCUCUUUUCUCUGCUUGGCACCCUCUUCCUCAUCCCCCAGCACCUGGUUGCAAUCUGAC